rnacentral:rRNA from 1 species
UACAGAGGUCUCAAGCGUUGUUCGGAUUCAUUGGGCGUAAAGGGUGCGUAGGUGGCGCCAUAAGUCAGGUGUGAAAUCUCGGGGCUCAACCCCGAAACUGCAUUUGAUACUGUGGUGCUCGAGUACUGGAGAGGAGAUUGGAAUUUACGGUGUAGCAGUGAAAUGCGUAGAGAUCGUAAGGAAGACCAGUGGCGAAGGCGGGUCUCUGGACAGUUCCUGACGCUGAGGCACGAAGGCCAGGGGAGCAAACGGG